UCCAUUGAAAAGAAAAUUAUACGAAUUCUAGGUUUAAAAAUAUAAAAUUAAAAGAGUUAGCCCCAAAAGCCACAAACUCAGGGCUAAGCCCUGCCGCCAGGAAUAGCAGGCCAUAAAGAUAAAGAAAAGGAAUGCAAGAACCAGCUCAGGCUAUCGAGGACUGAGCCAUAAACCAUCCAAAGACAUCCCCCCAGCUUACUCAGAGUCAUACUUUAACCAGAUGUCCUCCAGACCCUGAUAAGCCCCUACUUGUGCUUUUCAGCCAUUGUGUCCUACAGAGAGCAUUCCAGGAAACCGGACAGCCCAAGCCUAACCAGAGGUGUUUCAAAUACAAAUGCUCCAUCAGUUUUGACAAACGUUUAAAAAUAAUGAGGACCUGAAGACCCUACCCUUCUCCUGAUUUAGUAGCUCUGUUCCAGGAACCAGGGGGCCAUAAAACCUUCUGGCGUCCCCUUAUCUCCUGGAGCCAUAAAACAAUCCUGUAACUUGUGGUGCAUUCCCCUUUGACAUCCCCCAUCCCCUGGUGCUCACAGCCUCUGCCUUUAAAUACUCUUUUUCCCAGCCUCUCGGGGUCGACACCUCUGUCUCCUGCGUGGGAUAUGUGUCGGCCCGGAGAUCUCUGUAAUAGGUCUCCGUAAUAAACCUCGCCUUUGCUUAUUACAUCCAAAAUGGUCUCUCUGUGUCUGGGGUCCGCGAUUUCCCAAGACUUGAGUAAGGGUCUCUCUGCGUGGGAUCUUUCAUAAUAAUGGGGGCUCGUCCGGGAUCUGCGCGACUACCCCAGACUCCGAAGACCCCUUGGAGGCUAAAAGACCUACAGGUGAUACAGAAAGAAAUCUGCUCACAGCUGACAGCAGCCUAUGCCCCGGAGACCCCUGAGACAUCCCAUCAGUUCCAGGUCGGAAGCAGCUACACUGAGCCCAGACACUCGAUCCUCGCUGGAAAGGACCAUACCUGGUGCUGCUGACCACCCUGACAGCCGUCAAUUCUCAGCCCUCACCAGCCGUGUACUAGCUGUUAGGGCUGAGAGCUGGGACCUAGAGAGAAAUUCAGUCAUGUUUGUCCUGGGUUCCAUCGAGAUAGGUGUGGGGAUAGGCUUGAUUUCUAUUACAAAUGAUGUAACAUUACAUAUGUUAGUACUCCUAACACUUCUUGGGACUGUGCCUCAGGGAUCACAACCUAUAUAAGUUUAGAAGUUCUGAAAGACAGUCAUGACCUUGGUGUAUAGGUUCAGAUAGUGUCCAGAUUGGAAUCCUGAUGCUAAAGACUUAGUAAGAGACAAAAAAAAGGAGUUGAGAAUUACUUAGGGCUAGGGCUAUCUAGGUGCUACAAGGGCAGCACAAGGACAUCUGCUGUUGCCCUACAAUACAAGGCUUAUAGAGAAUUCAGAACUGCCAUUGACUCAGAUAUAAAAAGAGUAAAAGACUUUUUAGCUGACCUCCAAGAAUACCUAACCUCCCUCUCAGAGGUAGUCCUUCAAAAUAGAAAAAGAUUAGACCUGAUAUUCCUUAAAGAAGGAGUCUGUGUGCUAUACUAAAAGAAAAAUGUUGCUUCUAUACAGACCAUUCAGGAGUAAUUAAAGACUCCAUAAAUAAACUUAAAAAACGGUUAGACAAAAGACAGACAGAAAAACACAUCAGAGAUAGUUCGAGAGCUAGUUUAGUAGAUCUCCCUGGAUGACUACCCUACUCUCUGCUACAGGUGGGCCAUUAUUAAUAAUUUUCUUGGUUUUAGUUUUCAGCUCCUGCGUGACAAACAGGUUAAUUACUUUUGUUAAAAAUCGAGUGGGUGCUGUGCGGUUGAUGUUGUGAGACAACAGUACCAGUCAGUUAGGACAACUGGUGAGACCAAAUACGAGACUUGAUAUCAAAAUUCUAAGAUUAGAAUUAUUUAGUAGGAGAAGACGGGAAUGAAAAGAAAAUUAUACGAAUUCUAGGUUUAAAAAUAUAAAAUUAAAAGAGUUAGCCCCAAAAGCCACAAACUCAGGGCUAAGCCCUGCCGCCAGGAAUAGCAGGCCAUAAAGAUAAAGAAAAGGAAUGCAAGAACCAGCUCAGGCUAUCGAGGACUGAGCCAUAAACCAUCCAAAGACAUCCCCCCAGCUUACUCAGAGUCAUACUUUAACCAGAUGUCCUCCAGACCCUGAUAAGCCCCUACUUGUGCUUUUCAGCCAUUGUGUCCUACAGAGAGCAUUCCAGGAAACCGGACAGCCCAAGCCUAACCAGAGGUGUUUCAAAUACAAAUGCUCCAUCAGUUUUGACAAACGUUUAAAAAUAAUGAGGACCUGAAGACCCUACCCUUCUCCUGAUUUAGUAGCUCUGUUCCAGGAACCAGGGGGCCAUAAAACCUUCUGGCGUCCCCUUAUCUCCUGGAGCCAUAAAACAAUCCUGUAACUUGUGGUGCAUUCCCCUUUGACAUCCCCCAUCCCCUGGUGCUCACAGCCUCUGCCUUUAAAUACUCUUUUUCCCAGCCUCUCGGGGUCGACACCUCUGUCUCCUGCGUGGGAUAUGUGUCGGCCCGGAGAUCUCUGUAAUAGGUCUCCGUAAUAAACCUCGCCUUUGCUUAUUACAUCCAAAA